CGAACGGGUGAGUAAUACAUCGGAACGUGCCCAGUCGUGGGGAUAACUACUCAAAGAGUAGCUAAUACCGCAUACGAUCUGAGGAUGAAAGCGGGGGACCUUCGGGCCUCGCGCGAUUGGAGCGGCCGAUGGCAGAUUAGGUAGUUGGUGGGAUAAAAGCUUACCAAGCCGACGAUCUGUAGCUGGUCUGAGAGGACGACCAGCCACACUGGACUGAGACACGGCCCAGACUCCUACGGGAGGCAGCAGUG
rnacentral:rRNA from 1 species